rnacentral:rRNA from 1 species
CAGUCGCCGCGGUAAUACGUAGGCGGCAAGCGUUGUCCGGAAUUAUUGGGCGUAAAGGGAGCGCAGGUGGGACGGUAAGUCCGUCUUAAAAGGCAGGGGCUCAGCCCCUGUAAGGGAUGGAAACUAUCGAUCUUGAGUGCCGGAGAGGAAAGCGGAAUUCCCAGUGUAGCGGUGAAAUGCGUAGAUAUUGGGAAGAACACCAGUGGCGAAGGCGGCUUUCUGGACGGCAACUGACACUGAGGCUCGAAAGCCAGGGGAGCGAACGGGAUUAGAUACCCCCGUAGUCCCUGUCUCUUAUACA